rnacentral:lncRNA from 1 species
UUUGAACUAAUUCUUUUCCUCCUUAGGGCGUUUGGCUCCUCUAUCAGGGUCCAAGCAGUGAUAGGCGUCUGGCCCACAGUGAAGACUCAACCAGGCAUCAAGAGUGGGAGCACACUGCAGACCUCCUGCCUGGGUGGCCUCAACCUCCUCCAUUCAGCUUUGAUCAAGUGUUCCCCACGCGGCAGGCAAGUCUCUGCUCUGAAGGCUUCCCAGGCAUUUGUGCACAGGCAGGAUGCAUUCUACUGUGUGCACACUCGCUGUAGGCUUGGGAGGAGCCUGUGUUGGGAUGUCUGGACAUCUGCAUUUCGAUCUAUUCUUUGCUACUCACCCCCUAUGUGCCCCACCCCCUGCCAGCUAAAGAAAGAGUCCAUGAGUUGGGGAGGGAGAAGAAUCAAGGGAAGUGAGAAAGGAGGAUGGAUCCCCCAGUUAGGUCUGGAAACCCAAGUAGGGAGAGGCCUUGGGCUCUCGGUACUGCCAAGGAGGUGGGUGGAGCCUCCAUGCAACAUAAUAGGUAGUAGAGUGGAAAUGGAAGUUGCCCAGUGGGCACCCAGGCAGAUGAGCCCAAUUGGCCUUACAGAAUUGCCAGGAGCAGCAGAAGGUUCCUGGGUGCCCAGGAGGGAUUCCCAUAGCCUGUAGUGGGGUGAACUCGAAUGUGUUUCUGGUGUUCCGGAGCAUGGCACAGACAAGGCACAGAGGGCAGGAGGACCCAGAGAGGCUGAGGUGGAGCCAAGAAGGACGCCAUGCAUGGUCACUGGACAUCAAUGUCUGAUAUCUAGACGUCUUGGGGAAGGACAGCAAGACAGAUGGCUAAGAACUUGAUCUCCCUUGUGUACUUCCUCCCUCACCUUAGCACUACAUAAUUCCCACCCCUACCCAAGAACCGAGGUAUAGCCUUCACUAAGAUUAGGUGUUCUCCAUCCAAGUAAAAUGAGGGCUUAAAAAAGAAAUACAAUUCAGUUAAAUAAGCAAAGUUCUAUUUCUCAUAUACCUCAGUUUAGAGAUUACCUGCUGCUCAAGGAUAGAGGGGACAUUGUACAAGUUCACAAAGGUGAGACUGGGUGGCUUUCAAGAGCAUUAAGCUAAUAAUAACCUUUAGAUCUGCAAUACUGGAUAACAAGAUAUCCACACACUGUUAAAGAAAAGAUUUGUGAUCCAAGAAUCUUCAUUCUAGUCAAGAUACCAUUAAUUCUUUCAGGGCAUUUUGGGGGGAUGUAAGGACUAAACAAAAUACUUAGGGAGAUACUCAAACCAAAUGGAAUCUGUGUUAGAAGAGAGAUCUUUAAAAUAGGGGAUGAAAAAGAAAAAAGAUGGGAGAUGAAAAAGUGUACAGGAAACAUUAGGAAGGAAUGGAUACAUUAGCCAAAUCUACAUGAAUGAUGACAUGCUUAAUUUGUUGUUUCAAGUAGGGAUUCUUGAAACAAAAAAAGGCCAUGCUGUAAGAGAAGACCUAUUAAGAGUCAGAAAUGAAGUAUCAAAGUUUGCACUGUCCUGUGUGGUAGUCACUAGUCACACGAGGCUCCUUACAUUUAAAAUAAUUAAAAUUAAAUAAAAUCAUAUAUUCAGUUCCUCAAUUGCAGUCACCAUUUUCAAGCAUUCAUUGGCCAUGCAUGGCUAGUGGCUACUAUAUUGGGCAGGGCAGAUACAGAACAUUUCCAUCAUUGCAGAAAGUUCUUUUGGACAGUGGUGAUCUAAAUUAUCAGCAAAUCCAUGGAGGGGAAAGGAUGUUUUGGAGCACAGAGAAUAUAAGUCUUCUAAAGAUCUAGAAGGAUGGUGGGAAGUGAACAGGAAAAACAAGCAGCAAAAUUGAAAAGAGGGUAGAAUUUCUAAAUAAACAAGUGAUGGUGAUAGUGGUGGUGGGAUUCAAAAUAAGGAAUAAAGAGAAAUUUGACCAAGCCAAAAAAGGGAAAGGAGAAAGAGGGAUGAAAAUAUAAUCAAUAGUAAAUAUGAAGUUAGGUGGGCAAAAUAAAACUAAGUUCAUUAGCUAUCACAAUCAUGAUCUGGAUAAAUUUCCCUAUCAGGAAUCAGAGGUGCCACUUCCAGUAGAUAUGUAGAGAAAUCUCCCCUGGGACAAAACAUCUAAAAUUCUGGAUAAUUUUUUAAAGUAUAGUUUUUGUUUCUUUAAGAUUUUAUUUAUUUACUCACAAAAGAUACAGAUUGAGAGGCAGAGACAUAGGCAGAGGGAGCCCAAUGCAGGACUCCAUCCUGGAACCCUGGGAUCACGCCCUGAGCCAAAGGGAGAGAAGCUCAACCACUGAGCCACCCAGGCGUCCCUUAAUAUAAUUUUAAUAACAUAGCUUAGAUGACAAAAAAAUGAGGGAAAUGUCAGUGUUCAGAAGCAUCAAGAAAUCUUGAGUCUAUAGAGGUAUAUACAUUUUAGAGCUAGCAUUUGCCCAAAGGAUACCUGCCU